rnacentral:misc_RNA from 1 species
CAGGACUCGCAAGACUCCUUCACCCUGUGAACCUCACUACAAGCACGUUGCUUCGGCGGGUGUCCCGGCGGGGGUUUUCCCUCGCCGGGGCGCACAGCCCGCCGGCAGCCUACUAUACUCUGUCUCUUUGCGUUGGCAUCUCGAGAAAAAACAAACAAGUUA